CAUCCCUAAUGUAUCAGCAUCCCGUGCCCCACCUCAAAGAAAAUGACCCUAACCCUAGUUUGAUGGUGGUGGCCAGUGAUCCAUAUCGAGCCCAAGGCACUGCUCUAAGAGGGAUGAUGCAGAGCAUGGAGAUGGGCAUGGCAUCUAGUGGUUGCUCCAAGAGGGAGAGCAGAGCACCGAGAUGGAUGCAGCGGCCAGUGGAGGGGGGAGGAACACGUCGUCAGAGGUGGUGUCGGCGGCAACCGAUGAGCGUGAUGCUCCGACAGUCGUGGCACUGGGCGUUCAUCAGCCUCCAUCAUGGGGGCUUGAUGCGAGCUUAGAGAAGCCCGAGAUUUAGAUCUAGUUAUGGCCGUGGUGUAAGAAGAAAACAAUGGAAACAG
rnacentral:lncRNA from 1 species